ACGGCUACCUUGUUACGACUUCACCCCAGUCAUCAAUCCCACCUUCGACGACGUCCUCCUUGCGGUUAGACUAUCGGCUUCGGGUGUUACCGACUCCCAUGGUGUGACGGGCGGUGUGUACAAGGCCCGGGAACGUAUUCACCGCAGCAUUCUGAUCUGCGAUUACUAGCAAUUCCGACUUCAUGCAGGCGAGUUUCAGCCUGCAAUCUGAACUGGGACAAUUUUUCGGGAUUUGCUCCACAUCACUGUUUUGCUUCCCUCUGUUAAUUGCCAUUGUAGUACGUGUGUAGCCCAGGUCAUAAGGGGCAUGAUGAUUUGACGUCAUCCCCACCUUCCUCCGUUUUGUCAACGGCAGUCCCUCUAGAGUGCUCUUGCGUAGCAACUAAAGGUAAGGGUUGCGCUCGUUGCGGGACUUAACCCAACAUCUCACGACACGAGCUGACGACAACCAUGCACCACCUGUCUAUAUGUCCCCGAAAGGAUUUCACCUAUCUCUAGGUUAUGCAUACGAUGUCAAGACCUGGUAAGGUUCUUCGCGUUGC
rnacentral:rRNA from 1 species